UCGUGUUGAUACUUACAAUUAAAUGCCUUGUUGGAUGGAAUGUUCUAGAAUAUGUGCUGACUUUAUUGAAGGUUACAGUACUUGAAGCAUUUUUGUUCCUUUUGAAUCUUGGGCGUCAGAAUCAUGUAUGUGGGUCUUCUUCUUCAGGCACAUCUAAUGCCCCUACUUCUCUCUAUGGUGAAGAAAGGAGCUGGCGGAGUGUUCCAGCAUGUGUGGCCACCAUGUCAUGCUGCCACCGCAUGUGAUCUCCGUGGAGCAGGUUCUAGAAUCCCUCUACAGAGGCAAUUUAGGAAUUCACUCACAAAAGGUCUGGAGCUGGAAAAUCACACACAAAAAAGGACGAUGACGUUCACGGGGAAUUUAGCAAUGUCGGUAACCCGAGUCACAGUCCACAGCACUUCAGAGAUGUGGAAUCUCCAAGGUCAGCUCUCUGUCUUGAGGUGCAUGGAGAGUGUCUGUGCCUUCAGGGUGUGGAGGGUGCCGAGGCUCAGGGAGAGGCUCCCAUCCACAGCUCUGGCCUUUGGCCUCCUGUUAUCGUUGCCAUCCUUCUGCAAGCUCUUCAGGUACUGGUGGUGAUCACUUGGUGACAGCGCAUUGCUGGCGUGGGAUGGCAACCAGGUGGUCUACCCAUUAAAUCCCUCUGGACUGCCCUAAAAAGAGGUCCAAAUACUUUCAUCCAAAGCUGCCUGCAUGUGCUCUGUUUUUGGACCUGUCUUUGACCUUGGCCUUUUGCUCCCCACCUGCAUCCACGCAGAGCCCCUUGGUGGCCUGGAGCCUCUCUGCCCUCUGAGGUGGCUGUCUUUGCUCUAACUGCUCAGGCCCUCCCUUCUGCCUGUGCUCCUCCGUUUCCUUCCUUUGCAGCUGAAGAUCUAGUUGGUUCCACUCCUUCCUAAGGCCUGCGUUGAGUCCCGUUCUCUUGGCCUUCUGGCCUUACUCUAAUUUGUUCUCACUUGUUUUGUCACUUACUGGGACCCUCUGGACUAUGAGUUUCAGGAAGAUGGUGCCUGAGGAAGGCAUUUGUUUGUUUUUGUUUUCUGACUUCUUGUCUUGCUUGGCUUUGUCAGGAGCAGCCUCUGCAGAUACGCGGAGUAAGUCCAGGGGUGCGGAUUGAGAUGGCCCAGGGCCACAGGCCACGGAGAGGGGGCUCAUUUCAGGGCCACCACUGUAUUUCAGAGCAUCCAGCUUAGUCCAAGUCCGAUGGGGCAGAAGGAGGGUAAGCCAUGAGGACGGUGACCUUCCAGGUCUUGGAAGAUCCCACGCAGGGCAAGACAGGUUGGGCCAGCACUUGGCUGGAGUGGCACCCGAGGGUUACACCUGGGAAAAGGUAACGGUGGCAGGUGCGCAGCAGGGUGCAAGAGGAGGGGUAAUUUGGUCAAUUUUGCCCAGUAAGAGCUUUUCAUUGGUGACUUCCUCUGCUCCGUGGGGCACAGGUUUGGGGCCCUGGCGUUGGAAACGUCUCUGGGUAACUGUGUCUUCAGUGAGUGGUGUCUGACUUCCGUGGGUGUUUUUAAGGCAGAGUUCGCCUCUCACCCUUCCAACUGUUCAUUCACUCACAGGUUCAACAAAGCUGUGCCGGAGUGGUCGCCAGGCGGUGGGGAAGAGGCAGAUGGAGCUUCCUCCUCCUGGAGAUCACUGUCCUGUGGUUGAUACGGACAUGGUGACAGACGGCAGGACAGAGCUCCUGGGAGACAGAUGAGGACCUCUAAUCCACCCUGGGGAGGCUGGGCCUGGGGACGGCUUCCAGAAGAGAUGGCAUUUAAGCUUAAUCUUCAAGCUUGGGCAGGGAGGGGGCCACGUGGAGGAGUCAUGGGAGGAGGUCACAGCCGGCCAGGGAGGUGCUGUGGCUCUGUCUGCUGGGCUUGGAGCUGCCUCCGUAGGGACAGCAACAGCGGGAGGCAGGAUGGAGGCCCAGCCAGGGGAGGCAGGAUGGAGACUUUGAGGCCAGGU